GAUCAUGGCUCAGGAUGAACGCUAGCUACAGGCUUAACACAUGCAAGUCGAGGGGCAGCAUUUUAGUUUGCUUGCAAACUGAAGAUGGCGACCGGCGCACGGGUGAGUAACACGUAUCCAACCUGCCGAUAACUCCGGGAUAGCUUUUCGAAAGAAAGAUUAAUACCGGAUGGCAUACGAAUAUCGCAUGAUAUUUUUAUUAAAGAAUUUCGGUUAUCGAUGGGGAUGCGUUCCAUUAG
rnacentral:rRNA from 1 species